rnacentral:rRNA from 1 species
UACGUAGGCAGCAAGCGUUGUUCGGAGUUACUGGGCGUAAAGAGUGCGUAGGCGGUCCUGUAAGUUUGGUGUGAAAUCUCCCGGCUCAACUGGGAGGGUGCGCCGAAGACUGCAGGGCUUGAGUAUGGGAGAGGUAAGCGGAAUUCCUGGUGUAGCGGUGAAAUGCGUAGAUGUCAGGAGGAACACCUGUGGUGUAGACAGCUUACUGGACCAUAACUGACGCUGAGGCACGAAAGCGUGGGUAGCAAACAGG